rnacentral:rRNA from 1 species
UAUAGAUGGAUCCGCGCUGCAUUAGCUAGUUGGUAAGGUAACGGCUUACCAAGGCAACGAUGCAUAGCCGACCUGAGAGGGUGAUCGGCCACACUGGAACUGAGACACGGUCCAGACUCCUACGGGAGGCAGCAGUAGGGAAUCUUCCGCAAUGGGCGAAAGCCUGACGGAGCAACGCCGCGUGAGUGAUGAAGGUCUUCGGAUCGUAAAACUCUGUUAUUAGGGAAGAACAUAUGUGUAAGUAACUGUGCACAUCUUGACGGUACCUAAUCAGAAAGCCACGGCUAACUACGUGCCAGCAGCCGCGGUAAUACGUAGGUGGCAAGCGUUAUCCGGAAUUAUUGGGCGUAAAGCGCGCGUAGGCGGUUUUUUAAGUCUGAUGUGAAAGCCCACGGCUCAACCGUGGAGGGUCAUUGGAAACUGGAAAACUUGAGUGCAGAAGAGGAAAGUGGAAUUCCAUGUGUAGCGGUGAAAUGCGCAGAGAUAUGGAGGAACACCAGUGGCGAAGGCGACUUUCUGGUCUGUAACUGACGCUGAUGUGCGAAAGCGUGGGGAUCAAACAGGAUUAGAUACCCUGGUAGUCCACGCCGUAAACGAUGAGUGCUAAGUGUUAGGGGGUUUCCGCCCCUUAGUGCUGCAGCUAACGCAUUAAGCACUCCGCCUGGGGAGUACGACCGCAAGGUUGAAACUCAAAGGAAUUGACGGGGACCCGCACAAGCGGUGGAGCAUGUGGUUUAAUUCGAAGCAACGCGAAGAACCUUACCAAAUCUUGACAUCCUUUGACAACUCUAGAGAUAGAGCUUUCCCCUUCGGGGGACAAAGUGACAGGUGGUGCAUGGUUGUCGUCAGCUCGUGUCGUGAGAUGUUGGGUUAAGUCCCGCAACGAGCGCAACCCUUAAGCUUAGUUGCCAUCAUUAAGUUGGGCACUCUAAGUUGACUGCCGGUGACAAACCGGAGGAAGGUGGGGAUGACGUCAAAUCAUCAUGCCCCUUAUGAUUUGGGCUACACACGUGCUACAAUGGACAAUACAAAGGGCAGCGAAACCGUGAGGUCAAGCAAAUCCCAUAAAGUUGUUCUCAGUUCGGAUUGUAGUCUGCAACUCGACUACAUGAAGCUGGAAUCGCUAGUAAUCGUAGAUCAGCAUGCUACGGUGAAUACGUUCCCGGGUCUUGUACACACCGCCCGUCACACCACGAGAGUUUGUAACACCCGAAGCCGGUGGAGUAACCUUUUAGGAGCUAGCCGUCGAAGGUGGGACAAAUGAUUGGGGUGAAGUCGUAACAAGGUAGCCGUAUCGGAAGGUGCGGCUGGAUCACCUCCUUU